AGUGGGGGAUAACGUAGCGAAAGUUACGCUAAUACCGCAUAUGCCCUGAGGGGGAAAGGAGGGGAUCGCAAGACCUUUCGCUUUCGGAGUGGCCGAUAUCGGAUUAGCUAGUAGGUGAGGUAAAGGCUCACCUAGGCGACGAUCCGUAGCUGGUCUGAGAGGACGACCAGCCACACUGGGACUGAGACACGGCCCAGACUCCUACGGGAGGCAGCAGUGGGGAAUUUUGGACAAUGGGCGCAAGCCUGAUCCAGCCAUGCCGCGUGAGUGAAGAAGGCCUUCGGGUUGUAAAGCUCUUUCGGACAGAAAGAAAUCCUAUCCGCUAAUACCGGGUGGGGAUGACGGUACUGUAAGAAGAAGCACCGGCUAACUACGUGCCAGCAGCCGCGGUAAUACGUAGGGUGCGAGCGUUAAUCGGAAUUACUGGGCGUAAAGCGUGCGCAGGCGGUUUGGUAAGACAGACGUGAAAUCCCCGGGCUUAACCUGGGAACUGCGUUUGUGACUGCCAGACUAGAGUGUAGCAGAGGGGGGUAGAAUUCCA
rnacentral:rRNA from 1 species